GUGCGGAAGCUGAAUAAUUUAACAGGACUUAAACCUGUUCAUUGCAAUUGCAGGGUUCAAUGGGCCCACGUGGGGAGCAGGGUCUGCCAGGACAAAUGGGACCACCAGGUCCACAGGGCCCUAAUGGACUGUCUCUUCCUGGUGAACCAGGGCGGCCUGGACCUAAGGGAGACUCCGGUGACCCAGGUUUACUUGGACAGCGGGGCUCGAUUGGCGCUCCAGGUCAGCUCGGCCCUGUUGGACCUUCUGGAGCAAGGGGUCCACCAGGAAAUGAAGGCCCGUCUGGACCAAGGGGUCCAUCGGGACCAAUGGUAUGUAAUGUGGAAGCUUUUGAGUAUCUGAUGAGUGUGAGACUGUCAUGUCAGCUAAUGUAU
rnacentral:lncRNA from 1 species